GCCUUCGUGGUGCAGUGGUCAGCAUACUCGACGAGUAUUCGAGAGGUUUGUGGUUCGAGUCCCUGCGAGGACA
rfam:Stegodyphus mimosarum contig36509, whole genome shotgun sequence.